GCUCCCUUCGCCGCGCCUCGCGUGCUAGCGGUGCCCUUGUGAGCCACUGCGUUCUCCAAGGCCAGAACGGGACAGUUGACGAUGGUCGUACUUCUCCAUGUUCUGAGACCAGUUUAAACAAAAACAAAAACCAGACAACAACCUUGCAAGGGAAAGAAUUCAGAGUAAAUAAACAGUCUUUUUCUGGGAAGUAAAAUAUUUCCCUAAGAUGGAGAAAUUGAGAUGAGAGCUCAUCCACAAGAUUACCCAUCAAUGAGCACCAAUAGCAACCAAAUCCACUAGAAGACUGGGAGCUUUUAAGUCAAGAAACUUACAUCAGUAUCAUCAUUCCAAGAAGCGGUAUCCAAGCUGUUUUAUCGAAAGUGCGCAUGGGAGGCAGAUUUUGACUCCAAAAGUCCAGGAUGGGGCCUGAGGUUCUGCAUGUCUAACAAUUUCCCAGCUGAUGCCAAAGCUGCUGAUCAGAGUCUACACCUUAAGAAAUAAGACUCUGAGAAUUUAUAGAAACAAACAUUAGAAGGCAGGAAUGUGGAGAGAAGAAAGCUACCUGACAAGGGAAUCUCAGGAUACAAGGAAAACACCAAGAGUCUCUCCUGUUGCCCAGGCUGGAGUACAGCCGCGCAAUCUCAGCUCACUGCAACUUCUGCCUCCCAGGUUCAAUAGAAUCUCCUGCCUCAGCCUCCCAAGUAGCUGGGAUUACAUGCAUGUGCCACCACGCACGGCUAGAGAACUAUUGAUGAGAUGAAGUGAUGCAUCUUCAAGUUAACUAGUACCUGUCUGUUCUUCUACAUUGUACAUUAGAUAACUCACCAACUCCUCAGAAGACUGAAGCCUCAGCAGAAGUCCCCAUGAGUCCCUACAGCCACAAUAAAUUGAAUUCUGCCAAAAAUCUUAAUAAGCUUGGAAGAAGACCUUCAGCUCCUGAUGAGAACCCAGCCAGAAACAAGAUGAGAACCCAGAAACAAGAUUUUCAUCUUAUUUCAACCUGAGCAGAGAACCCAGAGGAGCCCUGGCCAGAUUUUUGGUCUACAGGAUUGAGAAGACACCUGCCUGAGGGUCUUAUAGCUAAUGGACUGCAGAAGACUUGAGUCAUCAUUCAAAUUCAGUAGCCAUCCUCUGAUGUCCAGUUGAAGAUUGGUGAUUCCAGAAUAGCUCGCAUUGCCCCAGUUGACUUGCCACACAGCUUCUUUCAGGACUUGAAAAUGUCCUAGCCACCCCCAUCUUACCUCCUACUUCCAAUGCCUUUUAAGAUAGAAAACAAAAAACAAAACAACAAAAAAACACCAGCCACCCUUGUGGGUUAGAUAAUCCUACAUCAAGGUGAAUUCUUGAUAACCAGUUCUGUUCUUCCUUAUGUCUUGUAAACAUGCUAAUUAGAAGGAGCUUGUGUUUGAAGAUCAAGGGAGGAAGAAUUCUGAAGCCAGGGCUAGCCUUAGGGGACAUAACUCCUUCCAGUCACUUCCUGAAUUUUUUGGUACCUGGCUUUUGAGAGUCCUCCAAAGUGAGAAUUUCAUGACAUGUAACCUCUCAACACCUGCAUUUUAAAAAAUUGUCCAAAAUACCGCAGAUACCACAGAAAAGUCCAAAACUUAAGUUUUUCCCUCCACUCAGAGCAUCUUAGCAACAUACUAACCAUAAGACUCUAAGCGCUCUUACCCUCAAUGCAAUUCUCACUGAAUAUCCUGUCAGGAGAACUCUACCUCUCUUCCAUGUUAUUAAGGUUAUUGUUCUUUGCAAGGUGUACACAACACAAAUAUAUUUCUUGGUGAAUGAACUCACUCUCAAAGACUGCUGUCCUUGGGGAUAUAGCCAACAUGCCAUAUCCACAACAUAGGUCUUCUUUACAGUCCUGUUGAAACAUGUAAGAUCAGCUACUAAGUCCCUGCAUCUCAGACAGGAACUUAAUAGAGUACAUUUAAAAAAAAAAUUCAGAAGUAAUUAAAACAAAUUGCAUACAAGCCACCUGUUUAGAAAGUUCAUAAAUUUUAUGCAAUUAUUUAUCUCUUUAUUUUUUCUGAAAUCAAGAGCAGAAUGUAUCCAAGUGAAACUAAAAGAGCGAGGUCAAGGGGAAACAACACAGGGCUUGUGGAGUCAUAAAUAUGUAUUAAAGCAGCAGAGUUAAUUUUGUCCCAAGUUCCAUAUUGGCCAGGAAAAAAGAAACAAGAUCAGCAGAGUUAACAGCUCUCAACCUGAAUAUGCCUCAGAAUUUCUAGGAGGACUUAAGUAAUGAGAUUCCUGGGUUUCUACAUGGACCAACUCAAUCAAACUCUUCAGGAGACAGCUGCUGUUGUUAGACUGUGUCUCCCAAAAUUCUUGUGUUGGAAACUUAGUUCCCAAUGUAAUGAUACUGGCAGGUGUGGCCUAGUGGGGGGUGUUUAGAUCAUGAGGGCUUCAGCCUCAUGAAUGGAUUAAUGUUGAUAUCUCAGGAGUGAGUUUCCUCUUGCUCUCUGUAGCCCUCUCUCUUGCCACAUGAUGACUUCCACCAGGUUAUGACUCAACAGGAAGGCCCUCACAAGAUGUGGAACCUCAAUCUUAGACUUCUCAGCCUCCAGAAGUGAGCCAAAUAAAUUUCUGUUCAUUAUA
rnacentral:lncRNA from 1 species